rnacentral:snRNA from 1 species
GAAUCUCCAUAUCAGCUGCACAAACUAAAACUGGAAUUAUGCAGAGAUUAGCCUGGCCCCUGUGCAAGGAUGAUGCUCAGACCAGCAAAGCAUCUGUCUCUCUG